rnacentral:lncRNA from 1 species
GUUACAUCAUUAGAACUCAUCCAUUGUUAGUUUCCAUUCCUAACGGAUUUUUCUCCAGAAGAGAGUGUUGUAGAGCAUGCCAGUCUACUUAGACCAACUAAGGAGAAAGCAAGAAGUCAGAAUCCAGGCACUGAUUUGGGGAGGUAUAUUGGUGACCUAGAGUAAGUCUAAAAGUAGAUAACCAUGGAGGAGGUAUGGAAGACGAGUCGAGAAGUAUACACGGCUGGAUGAUAUGCAGGUAUGUGGCGGCUCAGGAGGCGCUCUUUUCUGCUGAGAUGACACGAAGCUGGGGAGGAGACGCGCCGGGAAAGAGUGUCCGGUGAGCAGUUUUCCAGGCCCGGCUGCACUUGCCCCGUUAGUCAGGAGAGUCCGGUAGAGCCGCAUAUUCUAUAGCUUGUCAAUUUUGGUUUAUAGGACUGCGAGUUUCCCGUCUUUCCCCUGCUUUCAAAGGUAUUUUAAUGGGAAACUGGAAACAAUUUUAAACUGGAAGGCAGGAGUUCCCUUCGAAGGAACUGUGCCCCUGGAAUGUUAACCGAGGAAGCCCCGUGAGCGCAGGGGAGGCAGCCGUUGGGGGCGGGCGGUGUAAACAAGCCGGGGAGGA